CACGUAGGGGGCGAGCGUUGUCCGGAUUCAUUGGGCGUAAAGGGCGCGCAGGCGGCUCGGAAAGUCGGGUGUGAAACUCGGGGCUCAACCCCGGGCGUGCAUCCGAUACUGCCGGGCUUGAGGCAGGUGAGGGGAGAUCGGAAUUCCUGGUGUAGCGGUGAAAGUGCGCAGAUAUCAGGAGGAACACCGGUGGCGAAGGCGGAUCUCUGGGCCUGUCCUGACGCUGGAGGCGACGAAAGCUAGGGGAGCGAACAGG
rnacentral:rRNA from 1 species